rnacentral:rRNA from 1 species
UACGUAGGGGGCAAGCGUUGUCCGGAUUUAUUGGGCGUAAAGAGCGUGUAGGCGGCCAGACAGGUCCGUUGUGAAAACUCGAGGCUCAACCUCGAGACGUCGAUGGAAACCGUCGGGCUAGAGUCCGGAAGAGGAGAGUGGAAUUCCCUGUGUAGCGGUGAAAUGCGUAGAGAUGGGGGAGAACACUCGUGGCGAAGGCGGCCAGCUAGACCAGUUCUGACACUGAGGCGCGACAGCGUGGGGAGCAAACAGG